UACAGAGGUCUCAAGCGUUGUUCGGAUUCAGUUGGGCGUAAAGGGUGCGUAGGCGGCGCGGUAAAGUCGGGUGUGAAAUCUCGGGGCUUAACUCCGAAACUGCACUUGAUACUGCCCUGCUCGAGUACUGGAGAGGAGAUUGGAAUUUACGGUGUAGCAGUGAAAUGCGUAGAUAUCGUAAGGAAGACCAGUGGCGAAGGCGAAUCUCUGGACAGUUACU
rnacentral:rRNA from 1 species